rnacentral:rRNA from 1 species
GAUAAACGUUGGCGGCGUGCUUUAUGCAUGCAAGUCGCACGAUCAAUCGCAAGAAAGAUAGUGGCAAACGGGUGAGUAAUACGUAAGUAAUCUGUCCUAAGGUGGGGAAUAAUCUACCGAAAGGUGGACUAAUACCGCAUGUGGUGGUUCUUCACAUGGGGAAUCAAGAAAGCCGCAAGGCGCCUUUGGAGGAGCUUGCGUCCGAUUAGCUAGUUGGCAGGGUAAAAGCCUACCAAGGCGAGGAUCGGUAGCUGGUCUGAGAGGAUGUCCAGCCACACUGGGACUGAGACACGGCCCAGACUCCUACGGGAGGCUG